GAUGAACGCUAGCUACAGGCUUAACACAUGCAAGUCGCGGGGCAGCAUGGGGGUUGCUUGCAAUCCCCGAUGGCGACCGGCGCACGGGUGAGUAACGCGUAUCCAACCUGCCUUCACCACGGGAUAACCCGGCGAAAGUCGGACUAAUACCGUAUGUUGUCCAUUGACGGCAUCCGAUUUGGACGAAAGGUUUGGCGGUGCAGGAUGGGGAUGCGUCCGAUUAGCUGGACGGCGGGGUGACGGCCGACCGUGGCGACGAUCGGUAGGGGUUCUGAGAGGAAGGUCCCCCACACUGGAACUGAGACACGGUCCAGACUCCUACGGGAGGCAGCAGUGAGGAAUAUUGGUCAAUGGGCGUAAGCCUGAACCAGCCAAGUAGCGUGCAGGAUGACGGCCCUAUGGGUUGUAAACUGCUUUUAUGCGGGGAUAAAGUGGCCCACGUGUGGGUUUUUGCAGGUACCGCAUGAAUAAGGACCGGCUAAUUCCGUG
rnacentral:rRNA from 1 species